rnacentral:rRNA from 1 species
UACGGGGGGGGCAAGCGUUGUUCGGAAUUACUGGGCGUAAAGGGCGCGUAGGCGGCCUGCUAAGUCACACGUGAAAUCCCUCGGCUCAACCGGGGAACUGCGUGUGAUACUGGCGGGCUUGAAUUCGGGAGAGGGAUGUGGAAUUCCAGGUGUAGCGGUGAAAUUCGUAGAUAUCGGGAGGAACACCGGUGGCGAAGGCGGCGACCUGGGUCGACACUGACGCUGAGGCGCGAAAGCGUGGGGAGCAAACAGG